AUUAACUAAUAUCUUCAUGGAUGAUUGUGCUGUGCUCUCACCAUGGCAUGUACAGCAUUUGGGCCUCUGGAUCCAGGAACAUGACCUACAUCUGUCUGCAGAUAUGUACACAAUGGUUUGUUGCCUGUCAUCGCUAUCAGAAGCAAUAUGGAGAUUUAUUAUCCUGAGAUUUCUCUCUGAACUGUGGCUGCUGGCUGUUUAUCUGCAUCUUCUGGGAUAUAGAGACCAGGGACAUCAUUUCUUUCAGUGCUUCCUCAACUUGGGAGCAGCUUCAAAGAGUCCCAGGAUAGGGUGACAGGUAUGGUGUACUUGCCUUUAGG